UAUAUACUGUGGACUUUUACAAAACAGCUUAGCUUCUGGGAGGUCUGGGGUAUAGCUGGGCCUUGGGAACACCUGGAACCAAGCUUUGAGUGCCCUCAAGAGUCUCAUGGUUUAUCCAUUUUUCUGCCUGCCCUGGCUUCCUUCUCUUUGAAAUCAGAGGAAUUUUUCUCCAAAAGUCUGCUAGUAGACCUGAGUUUGAAUUAUAAGAGUUUCCUGAUUCCAGUUCUAAAAUUCUAGGAAAAGGACACUGAUUGACUUAGCAUGGGCCAUGUGCCUGCUUAUAGACCAAUUAAGUAAUACGAGGAAAUGAAUAUGACAGUAACAAUAUCUUGGCUCCGGUGACCACCCUUGGUGGUCAGUCAGUUGUAUCCAGGAAGUGGAGUCAUAGCAGCUUCCAUCAUAACCAUGUGUGAAAUUGGCCAAGUUACUUCAUUUUUCUGUGCCUUUCUCCUUUACUUCAUCUGUAAAAUGAGAUUAAAUUGUUCCCCUCUCAUAGAGUUAUUUGAGGAUUUUAUGAGAAAAUGCAACAUUCUUUGUAUAGUGGAAAACUGGAAACAAUAUGAUAUAAACAUUCAUUACUGUAUUAGGCUGUUUGUGCAUUGCUAUAAAGAAAUACUUAACCUGACCAACAUGGCAAAACCCCAUCUCUACUAAAAAUACAAAAAUUAGCCGGGCGUGGUAGUGCACAUCUGUAAUCCCAGCUACUCAGCAGGCUGAGGUGGGAGAAAUCACUUGAACCCAGGAGGUGGAGGCUGCAGUGAGCUGAG
rnacentral:lncRNA from 1 species